GAAAAGGGGGCCGGCGCUGGCGUUAUUGCUCUUUCCUCUCCUUAAGCAGGUCAAACGCGAUCGUUCAGAGCUAUUGAUUGCUCCACGGGCUUGUAGUGAUUUGUUAAAAGGCUAAUGGAAUGAGUCAUCGACAGAGUGGAUUAUUUAAAGCACCAUAUCUCAAGAGCAAGAGAUUUACUGCGUGAUGCCUGGCCACACCUUGAGUCCAUGCUCAGGAGAAGCAAAGGUAGGAACCGAAGUGACAAGGUGAUUGUUGAAGG